UACGAAGGGGGCUAGCGUUGCUCGGAAUCACUGGGCGUAAAGGGUGCGUAGGCGGGUCUUUAAGUCAGGGGUGAAAUCCUGGAGCUCAACUCCAGAACUGCCCUUUGAUACUGAGGAUCGUUGAGUUCGGGAGAGGUGAGUGGAACUGCGAGUGUAGAGGUGAAAUUCGUAGAUAUUCGCAAGAACACCAGUGGCGAAGGCGG
rnacentral:rRNA from 1 species